CAACAUAAGCGGAGGAAAAGAAACCAACAGGGAUUGCCCCAGUAACGGCGAGUGAAGCGGCAACAGCUCAAAUUUGAAAUCUGGCUUCGGCCCGAGUUGUAAUUUGCAGAGGAAGUAUUUGGCGCGGUGCCUUCCGAGUUCCCUGGAACGGGACGCCAUAGAGGGUGAGAGCCCCGUCUGGUUGGACACCAAGCCUGUGUAAUACUCCUUCGACGAGUCGAGUAGUUUGGGAAUGCUGCUCUAAAUGGGAGGUAAAUCUCUUCUAAAGCUAAAUACCGGCCAGAGACCGAUAGCGCACAAGUAGAGUGAUCGAAAGAUGAAAAGCACCUUGAAAAGGGGGUUAAACAGUACGUGAAAUUGUUGAAAGGGAAGCGUUUAUGACCAGACUUGUGCCGUGUGGCUCAUCCGGGGUUCUCCCCGGUGCACUCCACACGGUUCAGGCCAACAUCGGUUCUCGUUGGGGGAUAAGAACAGUAGGAACGUGGCCCUCUUCGGAGGGUGUUAUAGCCUAUUGUACGAUACCUUGAUGGGGACCGAGGACCGCGCUUCGGCUAGGAUGUUGGCGUAAUGGUCAUUAGCGACCCGUCUUGAAACACGGACCAAGGAGUCGUCCAUUAGAGCGAGCGUUUGGGUGUAAAACCCGCACGCGUAAUGAAAGUGAAAUUAGGUGAGAGCUUCGGCGCAUCAUCGACCGAUCCUGAAGUUUACGGAUGGAUUUGAGUAAGAGUUUUAACGGACGGACCCGAAAGACAGUGAACUAUACUUGAAUAGGGUGAAGCCAGAGGAAACUCUGGUGGAGGCUCGCAGCGGUUCUGACGUGCAAAUCGAUCGUCAAAUUUGAGUAUGGGGGCGAAAGACUAAUCGAACUGUCUAGUAGCUGGUUACCGCCGACC
rnacentral:rRNA from 1 species